CUCAGCCCCCCGGGUUCCUCAGCCCCACAGGCCACCAGGUUCCUCAGCCCCAUGGGCCACCGGGUUCCUGAGCUCCAUGGGCCACCAGGUUCCUCAGCCCCACCAGCCACCAUGUUCCUCAGCUCCUCAGCCCCACGGGUUCCUCAGCUCCAUGGGCCACCAGGUUCCUCAGCCCCACAGGCCACCAGGUUCCUCAGCCCCACGGGUUCCACCGGGUUCCUCAGCCCCACAGGUUCCUCAGCUCCUCAGCCCCACGGGCCACCAGGUUCCUCAGCUCCAUGGGUUCACCCCCCCGGGUUCCUCAGCGCCCCAGGGUCCACCGGGUUCCUCAGCCCCACGGGUUCCACUGGGUUCCUCAGCCCCAGGGGCCACCGGGUUCCUCAGCUCCUCAGCCCCACGGGUUCCUCAGCUCCAUGGGGCACCAGGUUCCUCAGCCCCACGGGUUCCUCAGCCCCACGGGCCACCAGGUUCCUGAGCUCCAUGGGUUCCUCAGCCCCAUGGGCCACUGGGUUCCUCAGCCCCACGGGUUCCACCAGGUUCCUCAGCCCCACGGGUUCCACCGGGUUCCUCAGCCCCACGGGUUCCACCAGGUUCCUCAGCCCCACCAGCCACCGGGUUCCUCAGCUCCUCAGCCCCCUGCGGGUUCCUCAGCUCCUCAGCCCCAUGGGCCACCAGGUUCCUCAGCCCCACGGGCUCCACCUGGUUCCUGAGCCCCACAAGCCACUGGGUUCCUCAGCUCCACAGAUUCCACCGGGUUCCUCAGCCCCACGGGCCACCAGGUUCCUGAGCUCCACGGGUUCCUCAGCCCCACGGGCCACCAGGUUCCUGAGCUCCACGGGUUCCUCAGCCCCACGGGCCACCAGGUUCCUGAGCUCCACGGGUUCCUCAGCCCCACGGGCCACUGGGUUCCUCAGCCCCACGGGUUCCACCAGGUUCCUCAGCCCCACGGGUUCCUCAGCCCCACAGGCCACCAGGUUCCUCAGCCCCACAGGCCACCAGGUUCCUCAGCUCCACAGGUUCCACCAUGGGGCUGCCGAACCAGAGGAAGAGCUUUCCCUUUUUCUGUGGGGCAGGGUUGAGGUGUCACCCAUCCCCUCUGUGUGUGUGUGA
rnacentral:lncRNA from 1 species